rnacentral:rRNA from 1 species
CCCUCAGAUGUUCUGGGCCGCACGCGUGCUACACUGAGUGGAUCAGCGGGUCAGGUUGCGCGAAAGUGUUUCCUAAUCUUUAAAUCCGCUCGUGAUGGGGAUUGACGGUUGCAAUUUUCCGUCAUGAACGAGGAAUACCUUGUAAGCGCGGGUCAUCAUCCCGCGCUGAAUACGUCCCUGCCCUUUGUACACACCGCCCGUCGCUCCUACCGAUUGAGUGGUCCGGUGAGGCUUUGGGAUCUGAGCGGAAAGAGCGUUUCGCUGUUUCUGCCCGGAAAACUCAGUCGAACCUUAUCAUUUAGAGGAAGGAGAAGUCGUAACA